rnacentral:rRNA from 1 species
CCUACGGGAGGCAGCAGUGGGGAAUAUUGCACAAUGGGGGAAACCCUGAUGCAGCGACGCCGCGUGAGUGAAGAAGUAUUUCGGUAUGUAAAGCUCUAUCAGCAGGGAAGAAAAAAGACGUUACUUGACUAAGAAGCCCCGGCUAACUACGUGCCAGCAGCCGCGGUAAUACGUAGGGGGCAAGCGUCAUCCGGAUUUACUGGGUGUAAAGGGAGCGUAGACGGCGCGGCAAGUCUGAAGUGAAAGGCAGGGGCUUAACCCCGGAACUGCUUUGGAAACUGCCAUGCUGGAGUGCUGGAGAGGUAAGUGGAAUUCCUAGUGUAGCGGUGAAAUGCGUAGAUAUUAGGAAGAACACCAGUGGCGAAGGCGGCUUACUGGACAGUAACUGACGUUGAGGCUCGAAAGCGUGGGGAGCAAACAGGAUUAGAUACCCGGGUAGUC